rnacentral:rRNA from 1 species
GACGAACGCUGGCGGCGUGCUUAACACAUGCAAGUCGAGCGGUAAGGCCCUUUCGGGGGUACACGAGCGGCGAACGGGUGGGUAACACGUGGGUGACCUGCCCUCAGCUCUGGGAUAAGCCCGGGAAACUGGGUCUAAUACCGGAUAUGACUUCAUGACGCAUGUUGUGGAGUGGAAAGCCUUGUGCGGCUGAGGAUGGGCCCGCGGCCUAUCAGCUUGUUGGUGGGGUGAUGGCCUACCAAGGCGACGACGGGUAGCCGGCCUGAGAGGGCGACCGGCCACACUGGGACUGAGACACGGCCCAGACUCCUACGGGAGGCAGCAGUGGGGAAUAUUGGACAAUGGGCGCAAGCCUGAUCCAGCCAUGCCGCGUGAGUGAUGAAGGCCUGGUGUAAGA